rnacentral:sRNA from 1 species
ACAAAAGGGAUACGGGAAGCACAAAGUAAAGCGGUAGGCUAAAGACAAGCAGAACAAUACAUAGAGGAGAGAAAGGGAGAUGUCAAGCAGCCUGCGCCUGGAAGUUGUUAGUAAAAUUAGGACCAAUGUGAAAUAAGGGAGCUUAUAUUUUCACUUCGUCAUAAUCCACAGAAGAUUAACCUUCAAUGGGAAAUUUUCUUCCAGAAGCUGAAACACAGCCUGUUGUGCCUUACUAUUUUUUGUUAAUUUCUUUCUAUUAUUUUCCUUAUGUUGUUGUUUCCUGUUGUUGUUCCUAUUUGGAAGGGAUUCUUCAUUUUGGACAUUUUCUCUUCUCAUUUCAGAUGAUUCCACACUGCAUGGCCCGAUUUUUAUUCAAGAACCAAGUCCUGUAAUGUUCCCUUUGGAUUCUGAGGAGAAAAAAGUGAAGCUCAAUUGUGAAGUUAAAGGAAAUCCAAAACCUCAUAUCAGGUGGAAGUUAAAUGGAACAGAUGUUGACACUGGUAUGGAUUUCCGCUACAGUGUUGUUGAAGGCAGCUUGUUGAUCAAUAACCCCAAUAAAACCCAAGAUGCUGGA